rnacentral:rRNA from 1 species
UACGAAGGUGGCAAGCGUUACUCGGAAUUACUAGGCGUAAAGGGCAGGUAGGUGGUUUGGUUAGUCUGUUGUGAAAUCCCCAGGCUUAACCUGGGAACUGCUCUCGAGACUGCAUCGCUAGAGUAUGGGAGAGGGAAGUGGAAUUUCAGGUGUAGCGGUGAAAUGCGUAGAUAUCGGGAAGAACACCAGUGGCGAAAAGCGGCUCUCUGGGGGACCACCUGACGCUGAGGCGCGAAAGCGUGGGGAGCGAACCGG